UGGUUUUAGGUCUGUGGUUGAAAAUCGAAGCCAGUCGCAGGCAAAACGAUCCACGUAAGCAGGCGAAAUGCCGGUGAGCAUGGUGCGGCUUAGAAGUAAGUCCGUCCGGGUGCGUAAUACACACCCGAGAGAGUUAGUAGUGGGAAGCGAAAGCCCAGUAGCGAAACCUCCAGGCGGCGGAUGUGGGGGCAAAGACCAGGUCAGCUGAAAGCA
ncrna:unclassified sequences raiA RNA